GCCAAAGCAGGGAUUAGAGCAGCACACACUCAGAUCCUCGGGGUAAAUGUACAGUACCAAUUAGCACUGAACAUUAGCUGAGAACUCUGAGCAGCACUCUUUGCAAAUCUGUAGUGGAUUAGAGUAAUGCUUGGAUAAAAUUCUUCAUUAAAAAAAUUAAAUGCAAAUUCCCCCCUUUCUAGCAUCUAAAAGGAACUUACAGGAAAGAAAAGGAUAGUGUAUUACACUCAAGAGGAUGAACGCAGAUGGCCUUGGAUGUGACACUUCAUGGAAAUAAGGUGCAAAAAGUAUUCCAGGGCAUAAAACCUCCCCAUGUUUUCAGUCCUUUGCUGGUGGAAUAUUAUUUCUACUGGAGAACCUGGACUGAUUUUGUACUUCAGAGGACUUCUGUAAUCUCUCCUGAGCUUAAGCUCAUUUCUGAGCCAUCUCAUGGUCCUGGAGGCAGGAACAUCAAUGCUGCUCUGAGCAUUUCCCUUCUGGGAAGGAGCUCAGUGAAAUAGCUGAUAUAAGUGUACUUGUGUUGAAAUGCCUGCUUGGAUGGGACAACAUCCAGUGAACACAGGAUGAGGACACCUGCUACAGACAUGCCAACUAUCAGCACUCACCAUCUGAAGGCAGUGUGGAUCAAGGCCCAAAAGCAGGAGAUGAUAAGAAUGGACUAAAACUACAACCAAGGAAUACACAGGCUCUGAAAAGGUGGAACUGAGGAGGAGCCAUGCUAAACAAUUCUUGGAACAUGUAAACCAGUUUGGGAAGAAGUUUACUAUGCAUAAGGGGCCAUGAAUAUGUAACAGGCUGAUGUAAUAGACAUGGGAUGGAAAGGGUGUUUCCAAACUUGCAGGUGUGCUCUUGGCUGGGUGCCAUAAUAACCUUUGCUCUGUGGUCCUUGUUUCCCAGGGUCCUUUAUUAAACUUUUUACAUUUUCA